rnacentral:rRNA from 1 species
GAUGAACGCUGGCGGCGUGCCUAACACAUGCAAGUCGAACGGAAAGGCCCCUUUGGGGGUACUCGAGUGGCGAACGGGUGAGUAACAUGUGAGUAACCUGCCCUUUACUUCGGGAUAACUUCAGGAAACUGGGGCUAAUAUCUGAUAGGAAUUCUUUCUGCCUGGUGGGGGUUGGUAAGCUUCGGCGGUUUUGGAUGGACUCGCGGCUUAUCGGCUUGCUGGUGUGUUUGUGGCUUACCCAGACUUUGGCGGGUAGCCGGGCUGUGAGGGUGACCCGCCGCAUUGAGACUGAUGUUGGGCACAGACGGCUACGGUUGGCAGAAGUGGGGAAUAUUGAACGAUGGGCGGCUGCCUGGUGCAGCAAAGACGCGUGCGGGAUGACGGCCUUCGGGUUGUAAAUCGCUUUCAGCAGGAGCGAAGCUUGUGGUGACGGUACCUGCAGAAGAAGCACCGGCUAACUACGUG